rnacentral:pre_miRNA from 1 species
CGGCUGAAUUUUUCAGCUAAAAUUCAGCUGAAAUUCAGCUGAACGUAAAGUUUUCAGCUGAAUUUCAGCUGAAUUUCAGCUGAAUUUAUUU